ACGAACGCUGGCGGCGUGCUUAACACAUGCAAGUCGAACGGAGUGUUUCAAAAGCUUGCUUUUUGCAACACUCAGUGGCGCACGGGUGAGUAACACGUGGGCAACCUGCCCGGAAGACUGGGAUAACACCUCGAAAGGGGUGCUAAUACCGGAUACCUUCACGGAGUCGCAUGACUUUGUGCAGAAAGAAUUCGCUUCCGGAUGGGCCCGCGUCCCAUUAGCUAGUUGGCGAGGUAACGGCUCACCAAGGCGACGAUGGGUAGCUG
rnacentral:rRNA from 1 species